UGGCCUUGACAUACUAAGAACUUUCCAGAGAUGGAUUGGUGCCUUCGGGAACUUAGAUACAGGUGCUGCAUGGCUGUCGUCAGCUCGUGUCGUGAGAUGUUGGGUUAACGUCCGCAACGAGCGCAACCCUUUUCCUAUUUGCCAGCGGGUAAUGCCGGGAACUUUAAGGAUACUGCCAGUGACAAACUGGAGGAAGGCGGGGACGACGUCAAGUCAUCAUGGCCCUUACGGCCAGGGCUACACACGUGCUACAAUGGUCGGUACAAAGGGUUGCUACCUCGCGAGAGGAUGCUAAUCUCAAAAAGCCGAUCGUAGUCCGGAUCGCAGUCUGCAACUCGACUGCGUGAAGUCGGAAUCGCUAGUAAUCGCGGAUCAGAAUGCCGCGGUGAAUACGUUCCCGGGCCUUGUACACACCGCCCGUCACACCAUGGGAGUUUGUUGCACCAGAAGUAGGUAGUCUAACCGCAAGGAGGACGCUUACCACGGUGUGGCCGAUGACUGGGGUGAAGUCGUAACAAGGUAAGCGUAGAUGA
rnacentral:rRNA from 1 species